UUCGUUGAUACAAAUGGGUGUCUCUACCUUUCCCUAACGUGCCAAUUGUCAACAUAUGAGCCUCAGCUUCCCAAAUCUUUUCUUCUACGGAAACCAUGGGGAUAUACUUCUUAAAUUUCGUGUCCAUCCGCAUUGCUAUAGCGGGAGAGAAUACAAGUAUGAUCGAUAGGGCUCUGGGGUAUUUCUAACAUGUCUUUCUGCCGGUUCUUGGUAUCUCAUCCUAUUCGGGCUGAUUUCGUCUGGUUCUACGUGGUUCAACACUCGUCGAGGAAAUUCGAGCCAUCCCUUCCAUAAACACACCUAGAUGCAUAAAAAAGGGAGAAAGAACAAACACUGGA
rnacentral:sRNA from 1 species